AGAGUUUGAUCAUGGCUCAGAUUGAACGCUGGCGGCAGGCUUAACACAUGCAAGUCGAGCGGAGAGAGGUAGCUUGCUACUGAUCUUAGCGGCGGACGGGUGAGUAAUACUUAGGAAUCUGGCUAUUAGUGGGGGACAACAUUUCGAAAGGGAUGCUAAUACCGCAUACGUCCUACGGGAGAAAGCAGGGGAUCUUCGGACCUUGCGCUAAUAGAUGAGCCUAAGUCGGAUUAGCUAGUUGGUGGGGUAAAGGCCUACCAAGGCGACGAUCUGUAGCGGGUCUGAGAGGAUGAUCCGCCACACUGGGACUGAGACACGGCCCAGACUCCUACGGGAGGCAGCAGUGGGGAAUAUUGGACAAUGGGGGGAACCCUGAUCCAGCCAUGCCGCGUGUGUGAAGAAGGCCUUAUGGUUGUAAAGCACUUUAAGCGAGGAGGAGGGUACUGGUAUUAAUACUACCAGGUACUGGACGUUACUCGCAGAAUAAGCACCGGCUAACUCUGUGCCAGCAGCCGCGGUAAUACAGAGGGUGCGAGCGUUAAUCGGAUUUACUGGGCGUAAAGCGUGCGUAGGCGGCUAAUUGAGUCGGAUGUGAAAUCCCCGAGCUUAACUUGGGAAUUGCAUUCGAUACUGGUUAGCUAGAGUGUGGGAGAGGAUGGUAGAAUUCCAGGUGUAGCGGUGAAAUGCGUAGAGAUCUGGAGGAAUACCGAUGGCGAAGGCAGCCAUCUGGCCUAACACUGACGCUGAGGUACGAAAGCAUGGGGAGCAAACAGGAUUAGAUACCCUGGUAGUCCAUGCCGUAAACGAUGUCUACUAGCCGUUGGUCUCUUUGAGGGAUUAGUGGCGCAGCUAACGCGAUAAGUAGACCGCCUGGGGAGUACGGUCGCAAGACUAAAACUCAAAUGAAUUGACGGGGGCCCGCACAAGCGGUGGAGCAUGUGGUUUAAUUCGAUGCAAC
rnacentral:rRNA from 1 species